AUACCACUCGUACACUGCGGUUCUUGCACCGUCCGCGCCCACCUGACAGCUGCUCGCUACGUUUUGUCAGCC
rnacentral:sRNA from 14 species